rnacentral:rRNA from 1 species
UGGUGGCGACCGGCGCACGGGUGAGUAACGCGUAUGCAACCCACUUAUCAGAGGGGGAUAACCCGGCGAAAGUCGGACUAAUACCUUCAUAAAACAGGGGCACCGCAUGGUGAUAUUUGUUAAAAAUUUAUUGCUGAUAGAUGGGCAUGCGUUCCAUUAGGUAGUUGGAGAGGUAACGGCUCACCAAGCCCACGAUGGAUAGGGGAACUGAGAGGUUGGUCCCCCACACUGGUACUGAGACACGGACCAGACUCCUACGGGAGGCAGCAGUGAGGAAUAUUGGUCAAUGGGCGAGAGCCUGAACCAGCCAAGUCGCGUGAAGGAAGAAGGAUCUAUGGUUCGUAAACUUCUUUUGCAGGGGAAUAAAGUGCAGGACGUGUCCUGUUUUGUAUGUACCCUGAGAAUAAGGAUCGGCUAACUCCGUGCCAGCAGCCGCGGUAAUACGGAGGAUCCGAGCGUUAUCCGGAUUUAUUGGGUUUAAAGGGUGCGUAGGUGGUUUAAUAAGUCAGCGGUGAAAGUUUGCAGCUUAACUGUAAAAAUGCCGUUGAAACUGUUAGACUUGAGUGUAAAUGAGGUAGGCGGAAUGCGUGGUGUAGCGGUGAAAUGCUUAGAUAUCACGAAGAACUCCGAUUG